rnacentral:misc_RNA from 1 species
GGCCAUUUUGCACUUAAUGAAAGUUGCUAUAGUGUUCAUAACUCUUUGAAGUCAUUUAAAAUGUUUCAUUCAAAGUGCUCUCACUUACUUUUUUUGCUCAUCAUCGGUAUAUCUACUCAACUCAUCAUCGGUAUAUCUACUCAACUCUUCUUUCUAGAUUCUAUUGUAAUGAGUGAAAGUGAGUUUUAAAUAAUUUUAUUAGCAUGUAUGAGAGGCUUGGCAAGCACCUAUUGAAGCUUGCUGGUGUGAAGUGUUUGGGACAACCUUUGUUAGAAGUUUGAAGCUACUUUGUAAAGCUUUGGAGUGAAGAUUUGUAAAAGGCUUUUGUCUCUUGCCUUUAAAA